GUAGGGAGCGAGCGUUAUCCGGAUUCAUUGGGCGUAAAGAGCGCGUAGGCGGCCUCUCAAGCGGGAUCUCUAAUCCGAGGGCUCAACCCCCGGCCGGAUCCCGAACUGGGAGGCUCGAGUUCGGUAGAGGCAGGCGGAAUUCCCGGUGUAGCGGUGGAAUGCGCAGAUAUCGGGAAGAACACCGAUGGCGAAGACAGCCUGCUGGGCCGCAACUGACGCUGAGGCGCGAAAGCUAGGGGAGCGAACAGGAUUAGAUACCCUGGUAGUCCUAGCCGUAAACGAUGGAUACUAGGUGUGGGGGGCUCCGCCCUCCGUGCCGCAGCCAACGCAUUAAGUAUCCCGCCUGGGGAGUACGGCCGCAAGGCUAAAACUCAAAGGAAUUGACGG
rnacentral:rRNA from 1 species